rnacentral:tRNA from 1 species
UCCCUGGUGGUCCAGUGGCUAAGACUCUGCACUCUCAAUGUAAGGGGGCCCGGGUUCAAUCCCUGGUCAGGGAA